UCAUUUUGGCGUCUUGAUUUUCGUAUAUUAUAUGUCAAUGACUCUAACCAAAAUAUAUAUGUCAAUCAAUGUCAAUGACUCUAACAAAAACAAACUGAAAUUUGGUUUACAAGCUUUUAUUUAUAAAAAUUAUAAAAUUAAGAAUGAUCCUCACAAGUGCAUCGCAAUUCGAAGUACCUAAUUGUAGAUUUUAUGGAAAGGAAUGGGGACCUAAACAAGCCUGCCGAUGGACCCCACGGCAGGUUAACUGCCAUAAAUAAAUGUCCGUACAUGGUGUAGAAUCUCCUACGACCUAUUCUGCACAUGUGGGGAGCCCAAGACGCUCUGUCGUUGGACGAAGCCCAAGAUGCCCUGUCGUCGGAAGAAGCCCAAUACUUGUUGCCCCACUGAGACCAAGGCAGAGUCCUAGGACAACCCGUCGACGCGUGAUUCGUCCGAGGCAGUCAACGCCGCGACGCUAUCGUCCUCUCGUGGGGAUUUAGGCCAUUUAUGUAAUGGAUAACUAUAUAAGUAAUAAAUGAUUAUUUUUAAA